rnacentral:rRNA from 1 species
UACGAAGGGGGCUAGCGUUGCUCGGAAUCACUGGGCGUAAAGGGUGCGUAGGCGGGUCUUUAAGUCAGGGGUGAAAUCCUGGAGCUCAACUCCAGAACUGCCUUUGAUACUGGAGUCUCGAGUUCGGGAGAGGUGAGUGGAACUGCGAGUGUAGAGGUGAAAUUCGUAGAUAUUCGCAAGAACACCAGUGGCGAAGGCGGCUCACUGGCCCGAUACUGACGCUGAGGUG